rnacentral:rRNA from 1 species
UACGAAGGGUGCAAGCGUUAAUCGGAAUUACUGGGCGUAAAGCGUGCGCAGGCGGUUCUGUAAGUCAGAUGUGAAAGCCCCGGGCUCAACCUGGGAACUGCGUUUGAAACUACAGGACUAGAGUAUGGCAGAGGGGGGUAGAAUUCCACGUGUAGCAGUGAAAUGCGUAGAGAUGUGGAGGAAUACCAAUGGCGAAGGCAGCCCCCUGGGUCAAUACUGACGCUCAUGCACGAAAGCGUGGGGAGCAAACAGG